rnacentral:tRNA from 1 species
GCCCCGUUCGUCUAGAGGCCCAGGACGCCAGAUUCUCAAUCUGGUAACACGGGUUCGAAUCCCGUACGGGGUACAA